rnacentral:tRNA from 2 species
GCCUCGGUGGCCAAGUGGUUGAAGGCGUCUGCUUCGUAAGCAGAAAACCGCGGGUUCGAAUCCCGCCCGGGGCUCCA